AUGUAGAUGAGUUUGGUGAUGGCUCUGAAUGAAUGCUGUCCAAAUGCUUGACACAUGCUAAUCGUACGAUUAAUUUAAUGAAUAAUUUAAUUAAUAAGUGGUGUACAGGUGAGUAUAUGAUAUUUUCACUACCUUAAAGUGAGGGAUAAAAUUCCACAUAAUAAUAAAGGCAUUAGCGACGGCGCAAGCAUGCUUCGCCUUCGCGCCGCUUUAAGCAGAAAAUUAAUAUCGUCGAGAGAGGUAGUAGUAAAGGUAAUGUCUUCACUAGCUUUAAAAUCUCGUAACCGUAACUGAAAGGUUGAUCGGUCACAUUGGGUCUGAAAAAAGCCCAAUGCAAAAUUAGUACAGCAGUGGGGAAUUUUGGUCAAUGGCCUAACGGCUGAACUGGCAAUUUGGGUAAACGAAAUAGAAUUGUAUAUUUACUAAAAUAAAGUUUUAAGUACGUAUUAAUAAUGAUAAUAUGUAUACUAGUCUUGACCAAUUACGUGCCAGCAGUCGCGGUAAUACGUAAGAGACGAGCAUUAUUCAUAUUAAAUAGGUUUAAAGGGUACCCAGACGGUCAAAAUACCUUAAAUAAAAAGAAGUACUAGACUAGAGUUAUAUGUGAGAAGACCGUACUUGACGUGGAGGGAUUAUAUCCUGUGAUACUGAAAGGACUGAUAAAGGCGAAGGCUGUCUUUUAUGUAAUAACUGACGUUGGAGGACGAAGGCAUAGAGAACGAACAGGAUUUGACACCCUAGUAGUCUUUGCAGACAAUGAUGAAUGCCAUAGAUUAGAUUGAUCUAAAUUUAGUCUAUAAAUGAAAAUGAAAGCAUUUCACCUCAAGAGUAAUGUGGCAACGCAGGAACUGAAAUCACUAGACC
rnacentral:ncRNA from 1 species